UACGAAGGGGCGAGCGUUGUUCGGAAUCACUGGGCGUAAAGGGCGCGUAGGCGGCCCUCUUUGUCGCGUGUGAAAGCCCCGGGCUCAACCUGGGAACGGCGCGCGAAACGGGGGGGCUGGAGUUCGGGAGAGGAGAGUGGAAUUCCCAGUGUAGAGGUGAAAUUCGUAGAUAUUGGGAAGAACACCGGUGGCGAAAGGCG
rnacentral:rRNA from 1 species